rnacentral:rRNA from 1 species
AUUGAACGCUGGCGGCAUGCCUUACACAUGCAAGUCGAACGGCAGCAUGGAAGAGCUUGCUCUUCUGAUGGCGAGUGGCGAACGGGUGAGUAAAGCAUCGGAACGUACCGUGUAGUGGGGGAUAACGUAGCGAAAGUUACGCUAAUACCGCAUACGCACUGAGGUGGAAAGCAGGGGAUCGCAAGACCUUGCGCUAUACGAGCGGCCGAUGUCAGAUUAGCUAGUUGGUAGGGUAAAGGCCUACCAAGGCGACGAUCUGUAGCGGGUCUGAGAGGAUUAUCCGCCACACUGGGACUGGGACACGGCCCAGACUCCUACGGGAGGCAGCAGUGGGGAAUUUUGGACAAUGGGGGAAACCCUGAUCCAGCCAUGCCGCGUGAGUGAAGAAGGCCUUCGGGUUGUAAAGCUCUUUCGGCUGGGAAGAAAUCGCACAGGCUAAUACUCUGUGUGGAUGACGGUACCAGCAUAAGAAGCACCGGCUAACUACGUGCCAGCCGCCGCCGUAA